UUUACUGGAUUUUUCUAUAAAACCUUAAGUCUAGGAAUACCAGACACUGCGAAAUGCUGGUAACACAUUUGCGUUGUUUGAUUUACGGACGUUUGUUGUUGUUGUUGUUGUUUCUUCUUUAAAUUUAGCAUUUAAUCCUUACUGACGUCACGGUCAUUUACGGCAGGAAAAAAAGUGUGCGCAUGCGCCAUUAUUUGUUAUCAAAUUUUCUGCCGCAAGCGAUUCAUAAUGGCCACCAUCGCACGUGCUUCUAAUUUCCCUUAAAAACAAAUGUUUUUUGAGCCUCUGCGGUAGAGAUCAUCCCCUAAAAGGAUUUUAUUUUAGUAGAGCAGGCCUUGGACUAUACAAAAACUCUAGAUUCGACUACCCGAACACUUUCACUUUUGUUGGGAGGAGACAGAAAGAAUAGCAAUGUUUUGAUUAUAAAAUUUUAUAAGUUGGUGGAAAAUGAAGAUAUUUGCUUUCCAACGCAAAGUCAUGCUUUAAGACAUGUUUUUCCUGAAAGCUGAUAGCCUGUUUUAUCAAAAAAAACCAGUGGUUUGUGGCUGCCACUUUUUUUCUGAAAGAAAUUGCUCCUCGGAAAUGACCUUUCCGAGACUUCAUAAAUCGGGCACCAGUCCCAAAUUGUUCUAUGAUACAAAACAUGUUGGCACGAUUUCAUUAAAGUAAUUUUGACCCAAUAAUUCACAAUUUCAAGCGUCAUUCAAACGUGAUUUGCAUGUGAAGAUUUGUUGACAGAAGCGGUUAAAAAAAUGAUGGAACAAUGAUGAAACAGAAGAUCUUGCUGAUUUGCUCGAUUACCACUUUUUGUUGGAUGCGUUUGAAAUAAGAAUAUAUUCGUGAAAUCCAGAUUAUGAAUUGAAAUAAAAAAUACUUGUAAUAGCCUAAUUUGUAAAGUAUUUUUAUAUAAUUCAGAUUGACUUUCGUGGUGAAAAAUCUCACAAUUAGGGAAUGGUCUAGGCUGAAAUGUCUGUGUAAAUGGUUAGCUUUUUCGUUUAACAUAUAUAUAGCUAUAUAACUGUAAAUUUUUUUCAUUUGCAAUCAUUUGCUAGUCUAACAACAACAACAAUAAUGAUGUGUUUCUAGCCCAGAAUAUCACAAAAACCUAUUAUUAGUGGAUUAUUUCCAUUGGGGUCCACUGAGUCUGAGUGAAGCUAGCUUUCUCACAUUUACGUUUAGUUUUAGCAGGCUUCUAGAUAGAGAAAACUAAUCAAGACCAACCUUAGAGCUAGCUAAGGUUACAGAUCAGAUGAAUUAUUUUUUUUUCCUUUUAAAAUUUAAUUUUAGUAGUAUAAUAUCGGUUGUUCUUUGUUUAUUAGCGUCUAUUUUACAUUUCUAAUAGUUGUCAA